rnacentral:rRNA from 1 species
UACGUAGGGGGCGAGCGUUGUCCGGAAUCAUUGGGCGUAAAGAGCUCGUAGGCGGUUCAGCAAGUCGGCUGUGAAAUUCCGAGGCUCAACCUCGGAACUGCAGUCGAUACUGCUGUGACUCGAGUCCGGUAGAGGAGGAUGGAAUUCCCGGUGUAGCGGUGAAAUGCGCAGAUAUCGGGAGGAACACCAGUAGCGAAGGCGGUUCUCUGGGCCGGUACUGACGCUGAGGAGCGAAAGCGUGGGGAGCAAACAGG